CCCCUUUCCCUGUGACUCUCCCCUAAAAUUGUUUACACAGACUGAUUUCUAAACACAUUUGUUGUGUAAAGACACAUUACUGUUAGUCUUGUUGCUGUGUACCUCUGUUAUACACUCAGACACACCAAUAAUACAGAGCUACUAGAAAAGAGGGACAUUAGGAGAGAAAAGAAGAACAGAUGGAUUUAGGCCCAAAAUAUGGACUUUCUCUCAUAAAUAGGUACACUUGGAAGGUAUGCUUCUAUCUGCUGCAUGUUAACCUUACAGAAGUUAAAUGCCUUGAUAAAUGUUACCAAGAACAGUGUUUGACUGCUAAAACAUAUAUUACACCCUACCUGGCAUUGGUCUGGUUAAAAAUAUUAACACAACAAGCAUGUGCGUCUUUA